rnacentral:lncRNA from 1 species
AAGAUUACAUUCAUUAUUUGACAUGGUACCAUACUUUCCGAGGUAAGAGAAAUUUCAUAAGCUAUGAGCUGAAACUAUAGGUACUGAUUGAAAUAAGAUGUGCCUAAUACAGCAACCCUAAAUUUGGCCAACAUGAAGAUUUUGUAGUCAAGGCCCACACUCCAUUCUGGAAAACGGGAAAGCCUCAAUUCAUCUAAACAAAUAGGCGAUCCUCAAAAAAAAACCUAACAAAUAGGCAAGUCUCCCAUCUACAACUAAUCCUAGCAAAUAGAUAGCCAAGUUAGCUGAAUGUAAACAACAGACAGGGGAAGACUUGUAUGAAAACUGAGUUCAUGUAAACAAAAUGACAAAAUCUUCAGGUUUUGGGCACUUCUACCAAAGCCAAGACACCACUGGCAUCCAACUUGAACAAACUGUAUCGUUCGUGUAUAGAAAAAUCUAAUCUUCAUGACAGGAAACGGUAACUUUCAAGCAUACGAAACCUCCCGAAGAACAAGAUACAUAAUUGUAUGUCAUCAUCUGACUGAACAUAUCCUACAAAGCACAGAAAAUAAAUGAACAUAACAUAUGGUUUCAUGAAAAUGACAGUUGAUAGUACUACCAUAGAUAGAGGACCAAAUUAUUAAAUUAUGGAAGUUCAUUCGUGGGCAAAUAGACUGACCACCAAAGAUUAUAUGUGUCCGAAAAAUAUGAACAGUAGCUGCCAAGAUAAAAGGAAGCCAGAAAUUGAUGACAUGCACCUUCAUAAGAAUCUGCAUAUGUACAACACUCCCAGAAGUCUGGAAAAUCUAGCAUGUCAUUAGCCAUGAAAUAAUUGUAACUGCAUCCAAACUGAAAUACAGUUGCAACCACAGAAUAUUCCAAGAAUUAAGUCAAUACACUGUGCCACUGUUAAAGAAAAAGUUUACCAGUAUAAGAAUAACACGCAUUUAGUAACCUGGUAUAAGAAGACCUUGUGGUAAAAUGAUACAUUUGUUUAGAAGGCUCCAACAACUGGAUAGAAUAGAAAAAAGUUAGUAAAAUACAUUUGUUUUGAAGGCUCAACAUCCUUUGAAGAUAUUGGCAAUGUCAGCAUGUUAUAUUCCCUCCUGGUAUAUGGUUGCUCUGUAAGAAAGAUAGAAUCGAAGUCAAUUGUAUGGAUCCAAGAGAUUAUGAUUAAUCUAUAUGCAUUUAGGAAAAUAGUGCUCAACCGCCCAUCAAUUACCUGUUCUUGACUUCCUGACGCCAAACGACAAACUAUCAGAACAUGAAACACCACCACGAACAAGGGCCAGGUCCUCGUCGUCCCCCUCCCUGUCCAACAAUGAUGCAACUAACUGAGAAUCGUAGAAUGGAAGUAAAGGAAACCGCAGCGGCCAACACCCAGCCUUUUCUUCAAGUCUAUCAUAUUCCUCACCAGAUGAUUCCUCACCAGAAGAUCAACUGAGAUACAGACAAUCAAUUUGAGAGAUUGGAAGGAGCAGAAGGAGAGAUGUCACACCCACGCCAAAAUCACUGCCAAAUCUAUCACAAGCAGCAAAAGAGUCUUGUGACCAAACAAGUAAAAGGAGCAAUUCAACAACAAAGAAAACAAUGAAUUUGGAAAAGGAGGAAUCAAUAUCCCUCACCAUCAUCAUGGAAGAAGGGCAUCACCAACACCUUGACUCGGAAGGCUGUGCAGGCAGUACGGCGGCGCUGUUGAGAGGCGAGGCGAGGCGUUGCAAUGUUCAGUGUAAGCCCGGGAUCUACCAUGGAAUUGCUCAACAAGAAGAACUAAAAAUAACAUCAUUGCUCAACAAAUGAGACAAACAGAGAUAACAAUAUCACUUGUAGGCUCAGAUUUAAUUCAACGAAUAUUCCUCAUGUCAUGAAUACAAUAUUGACAACUCGAAAAAUAUUAUAGAUAGAUCAUAGUUGCAAAAUGAAGUGAUCCACAAAAUUGGACAUUUCACCAGCUGAUGGGAAUAUCUAUUAGUACAAAAUUUAUAUGGAAACACUCAACUCUUAUGAAAGAACUAUAAGACUUGUUGCAUGUGUACAAUCAGGGAGUGCUCAGAAUUGCAAUUUAGAUCUUCCAGUGCCUGAGGGAAAUAUAUAUUAAUACAAAUCACUAUGUAAAUACUCAACUCAUAGGUCAGAACUACAGAUACUUGUUGUACGGGUACAAUCAUGAGUGCUCAACAGGUGAAACAAUAUACUUGUUGUAUAUGUGCCCGCCCUUUGCGACGGUUAGCAAAACAUGAGUAAAUAAAUAUAUCUCUAUUACUGUAGCACACCAUUGAUGUAGAAUUCCUUAUGAAGACAUUUAUCUACUACCCAUAUAUGCAAAAAAAAAUGGUGAUGAACAAAUACUACCGGCUGCUCAUAUCUGUUCAAGGAGAAGACAUAUCCAUCACAAAUAGUGAAUUUUACUAAUUCACUCUAUUCAUGUUGCUACUUGCCAAAUUGUUCUCUUUUAGAUUAGAUUAAGUUUGAUCCUAGUUUCUUACAUCCCUUAUGUAUCAUGUAGUAUACUACCGGCUGGUUUCCAUCGAAGCAUGAGUACCUUUGUGGUUCACAGUGACUGUAAUCUCAAUCUAGCCAUUAUAGAGAUGAACUAUGUGCCUAGAAAAUACACCCAAAAGGAAGCUGCAGAGAAAGGGCCAGUGGAGCACUGAUGAAUCUACCAUGCAUUUGUCAGUAAGGACUCAC